rnacentral:rRNA from 1 species
GACAGAGGAUGCAAGCGUUAUCCGGAAUGAUUGGGCGUAAAGCGUCUGUAGGUGGCUUUUUAAGUCCGCCGUCAAAUCCCAGGGCUCAACCCUGGACAGGCGGUGGAAACUACCAAGCUGGAGUACGGUAGGGGCAGAGGGAAUUUCCGGUGGAGGCGGUGGAAAUGCGGUAGAGAUCGGAAAGAACACCAACGGCGAAAAGCACUCUGCUGGGCCGACACUGACACUGAGAGACGAAAGCUAGGGGAGCGAAUGGG